rnacentral:rRNA from 1 species
UACGUAGGGUGCGAGCGUUGUCCGGAAUUAUUGGGCGUAAAGAGCUCGUAGGCGGUCUGUCGCGUCGAAUGUGAAAACCCGGGGCUCAACUCCGGGCUUGCAUUCGAUACGGGCAGGCUAGAGUUCGGUAGGGGAGUCUGGAAUUCCUGGUGUAGCGGUGAAAUGCGCAGAUAUCAGGAGGAACACCGGUGGCGAAGGCGGCUUUCUGGACACUUACUGACGCUGAGACGCGAAAGCGUGGGGAGCAAACAGG